AAGACAAAAGAUGUGCACAGACCACAUUGAUUUUGGCAACAAGAUAAAUCUUUGGUUGAGCCCCAAAUUAGUCCCAGAAUGGUCAAAAGACUGGAAACCCAAGGAUAUUCAUGCUGUGACAAAGAGAUUAACUCAUUGGUUCUUUGAGUCUAGUACUUGACUGACACCAACUCAUACCAUGGAUGCCUAGACAUGUAUCCAGCUACAAUGGGU